AGCGAACGCUGGCGGCAGGCCUAACACAUGCAAGUCGAACGAAGUCUUCGGACUUAGUGGCGGACGGGUGAGUAACACGUGGGAACGUGCCUUUAGGUUCGGAAUAACUCAGGGAAACUUGUGCUAAUACCGAAUGUGCCCUUCGGGGGAAAGAUUUAUCGCCUUUAGAGCGGCCCGCGUCUGAUUAGCUAGUUGGUGAGGUAAAGGCUCACCAAGGCGACGAUCAGUAGCUGGUCUGAGAGGAUGAUCAGCCACAUUGGGACUGAGACACGGCCCAAACUCCUACGGGAGGCAGCAGUGGGGAAUUUUGCGCAAUGGGCGAAAGCCUGACGCAGCCAUGCCGCGUGAAUGAUGAAGGUCUUAGGAUUGUAAAAUUCUUUCACCGGGGGCGAUAGUGACGGUACCCGGAGAAGAAGCCCCGGCUAACUUCGUGCCAGCCGCCGCUGUAAUAC
rnacentral:rRNA from 1 species